UUCACAGAUGCCUGGAACAAUCAAGUGACCU
rnacentral:piRNA from 1 species